GACGGAGGGUGCUAGCGUUGUUCGGAUUCAUUGGGCGUAAAGGGUGCGUAGGUGGCGCUGUAAGUCGGGUGUGAAAUUUCGGAGCUUAACUCCGAAACUGCAUUCGAUACUGCGGUGCUUGAGGACUGGAGAGGAGACUGGAAUUCAUGGUGUAGCAGUGAAAUGCGUAGAGAUCAUGAGGAAGACCAGUGGCGAAGGCGGGUCUCUGGACAGUUCCUGACACUGAGGCACGAAGGCCAGGGGAGCAAACGGG
rnacentral:rRNA from 1 species